rnacentral:rRNA from 1 species
UCCUACGGGGGAGCAGCAGUAGGGAAUCUUCCACAAUGGACGAAAGUCUGAUGGAGCAACGCCGCGUGAGUGAAGAAGGUUUUCGGAUCGUAAAGCUCUGUUGUUAAUGAAGAACAACAGGGAUAGCAACUGAUAACAGUUUGACGGUAAUCAACCAGAAAGUCACGGCUAACUACGUGCCAGCAGCCGCGGUAAUACGUAGGUGGCAAGCGUUGUCCGGAUUUAUUGGGCGUAAAGCGAACGCAGGCGGGAGAAUAAGUCAGCUGUGAAAGCCCUCAGCUCAACUGGGGAAGUGCAGUUGAAACUACUAAUCUUGAGUGCAGAAGAGGAAAGUGGAACUCCAUGUGUAGCGGUGAAAUGCGUAGAUAUAUGGAAGAACACCAGUGGCGAAGGCGGCUUUCUGGUCUGUAACUGACGCUGAGGUUCGAAAGCAUGGGUAGCGAACAGGAUUAGAUACCCUGGUAGUCCAUGCCGUAAACGAUGAGUGCUAAGUGUUGGGAGGUUUCCGCCUUUCAGUGCCGCAGCUAACGCAUAAACACUCCGCCUGGGAGACACCG